AGAUAGGUCAAAUAUGUGAGCACUGUUAUUUCUUACGUGUCACAAAGAGUAGAAGGUUAAUUAGCAGUAUAACUAAAUAGUAAUGCUGCCAUGUCUCCUUCAGACAAAC
ensembl:snoRNA